GCCCCCCUGUGGGUCUGGGAGGGCCUUGGUGGACCUCAGGUGGGCACCUGGGGCUGCAGGUGAAGGGGAGGUUCAGUCAGGCUGCCCGCCGGCUCAGGAUGGGGCAGAAUUCACGUUUCUGGAGAGGCCAGUGGAUCUGGGUGCAGGCAGUGCAGGUGACGAUUACCAGCUUCAGUCUGUGCGCAAAUCCUGUUCCUAGACAUCCCACCCCUCAUUUUCCUCUCGUGUUGACCGGGAUCGAAUCACAACACUAACACCAGGUGUGAGGAGCAGGUUUGAGCGCUACCUGUGCAAAGCCCUGCUCUAAGAGCUGCCUUCAGUUUUCCUCAUCUGUAGCCUGGGAAUAGUAAUAGCAAGCAAGAACUAACCUGUAAGGAGGGCUUCCUGUGGCAGAACAGUUCCUGUUCUCGUCGUGGCAGGAGAUUAUUUCAUCUAACCCUGUCAAAGGACAAACUGGCGGGGCAUCCCCUCACUCACUCUGCGCAAGGCACCAGCCUCCUUGCUCAGGAUAAAUAGGCUCAGAGCCACCUUGAGCCUUUGAAAAGGCUGUCGCCUCUACCGAAAGCACCCUUCUGAAGUUUCAAAGCUUGAACUGUCACAUCCAGGUGAAUAUACCGUCUAAAAAUCCGUAGCUCUCAUGAUAUGGGUAAGGUUAUGAAAAGUCACGGAGUUAGCAUUAGGAUUAAGGGUCCAAGUAAGAGUCUGAGUUGGGACCAGGGUCAGGGAAAGGAUCAAGAGUCAAUGUCAGAGGCCGGAUUCAGUCUCACCUUUCAUUGUUAGGAUCAGUGUCAAGGCCAGGGACAGGGAUAGGAAUUAGUGACUGAGGCCAUGGCCAUUCCCACACAAGACCAUGGUUCAAGUCAGGGACUAUUGACCCAAACUAUGGCAGAGUGGACCAUGAUCUCCUUGCUACUGGGGCCACUUCUUUGGGAAUGAACUGACUUAUGCAAUAUAGGGAGAGACCAAAAAUUUCAAAUGAUCCUUAAAACCAGAACCCAUCUUGUACAGACUGCCUGGGGUUAGGGUCAGGAUUAAGGUCUAUGGUUGGGCUCUGGUUCAAGUUCAGGGUCAGGGUCAAUGUUGGGGGUCAAGGUCAGUGCUAGGCUAGGAUUUAGGGCUGGGGUCGGGAUCAGAGUUUAGGGUUAUGGGUCAGGAUUAGAGGGUUAGGGUUGGAGGGUCAAGGUUUAGAGUUUAGGGGUCAGAGUUCACGGUGUAGGGAUCUGGGGCUAGGGUUGUUAGGGUUUAGAGUUAGAUAUCAGGGGAUUAGAGUUACAGCUUAGAGUGUUAGAAUCAGAGGAUUAGGGUUAGAGUUUUAUUUAAGCAUAACUGGUCCUCUUCCCCCUCCUAACUCUCCAUCUUUGUGAGGCGUCCAGGAAGGGUAGGACUUUCCCAGGGUCACACAUGAGUCAGAAAGGUAAGCUGGACUGUUGAAUUUCUGUACCCCAGUACUGUGCUCUGAUAGAAGAAUGAAAUGUCUAUUCUAGUCACUGAUUGUUUCAAAUCUAACUCCACUCAGUCAAGUGUUGUGGAGAGCCCCAGAAGUCCCACAGGGUGUCCCUCUGUCCUCCCACCUGGGAAAGGAGGUGCUGCCCCGCUCUGUCUGGGAAUCCCCAGAUUCCAGCACAGCCCUGACACACAGAGCACUAGACAACAUGUGCGGAUUUAUACAGGACUGGGUGUAGCCACCUGCCAGCCCCCAGGUGCUGCCUACUUGCAGGCUUGUUGGGCGCUUCUGAGACUGAAUGGAUCCUUUGUCCCAUUGAAGUAGCAGGCAGUAGAUAGUCAGGUCUUAGCCAGGACAGCCCUUGCCCUUCAACCAUCCAGGCAGGCAUUUGCAGUCCUCUAGCUCAGGCCAGCCUGGGCCCUGUGUAGCCCUUGUUGCUAGUUACUGAGCUGACCAUGCUUCUGUGCAGUUGAAUAGCUACCUGGGCAGUGUGGACAUCCCCUUGGAUGUUUCAGUUCCCUACAUCCAUGUGAUUGAAAGAAGUGUCUCUUCCCUCACAGCCUUUUAGUCUGCCCAGAGAGGUAGUAACCCUCCAAACAUUGAAUGUGGCACUGGGCAGAACAACCAAACAGCAGACUGUUACCCUGCAAUUCUUUGGCUUUCCAGUUGUAAUAAACUUUUUUUUUUUUAAAGCUCUUUUUUGGAAUAUAAUUGCUUUACACUGUUGUGCCAGUUUUUGCUGUACAACAAAGUGAAUCAUUGGUAUUUAUACAUAUAUCCCCAUAUCCCCUGCCUCCCGUGACUCCCUCCCACCCUUCCUAUCCCAUCCCUCGAAGUCAGUGCCCAUCAUCAAGUUGAUCUCUCUGUUUUAUGCAGCAGUUUCCCACUAGCUGUCUGUUUUACAUUUGGUAGUGUAUAUAUGUCAAUGCUAUUCUCUUGCUUUGUGCCAACUUCCCCUUUGCCCCCCAACCCAUGUCCUCAAGUCCAUUCUGUACAACUGCAUCUUUAUUCUUGCCCUGUCACUGAGUUCGUCAGUACCAAUUUUUUAGAUUCCAUGUAUAUGAGUUAGCAUACGGUAUUUGUUUUUCUCUUUCUGGCUUACUUGGCUCUGUAUGACAGACUCUAGGUCCAUCCACCUCACUACAAAUAACUCAGUUUCAUUCCUUUUUAUGGCUGAGUAAUAUUCCAUGGUAUAUAUGUGCCACAUCUUCUUUAUCCAUUCAUCUGUUGAUGGACAUUUAGGUGGCUUCCAUGUCCUGGCUAUUGUAAAUAGUGCUGCAGUGAACAUUGGGGUACAUGUGUCUUUUUGGAUUAUGAUUUUCUCAGGGUAUGUGCCCAGUAGUGGGAUUGUUGGGUGAUAUGGUAGUUCUAUUUUCAGUUUUUUAAGGAACCUUCAUACUGUUUUCCAUAGCGGCUGUACCAAGUUACAUUCCCACCAACAUUGCAGGAGGGUUCCCUUUUCUCCGCACCCUCUCCAGCAUUUAUUGUUUCCAGAUUUUUUGUUGAUGGCCAUUCUGACUGGUGUGAGGUGAUACCUCAUUGUGGCUUUGGCUUGCAUUUCUCUAAUGAUUAGUGCUGUUGAGCAUCUUUCAUGUGUUUAUUAGCCAUCUGCAUGUCUUCUUUGGAGAAAUGUCUAUUUAGGUCUUCUGCCCAUUUGUGGAUUGGGUUAUUUGCUUUUUUGGUAUUAAGCUGCAUGAGCUGCUUGUAUAUUUUGGAGAUAAUCCUUUGUCGGUUGCUUCAUUGGCAAAUAUUUUCUACCAAUCUGAGGGUUGUCUUCUUGCCUUGUUUAUGGUUUUUUUUCGCUGUGCAAAAGCUUUUAAGUUUCAUGAGGUCCCAUUUGUUUAUUCUUGAUUUUAUUUCCAUGAUUCUAGGAGGUGGGUCAAAAAAGAUCUUGCUCUGAUUUAUGUUAUAGAGUGUUCUGCCAUUAUAGAGUGUUCUGCUUAUGUUUUCCUCUAAGAGUUUUAUAGUGUCUGGCCUUACAUUUGGAUCUUUAAUUCAUGUUGAGUUUAUUUUUGUAUAUGGUGUUAGGAAGUAUUCUAAUUUCAUUCUUUUACAUGUAGCUGUCCAAUUUUCCCAGCACCACUUAUUGAAGAGGCUGUCUUUUUUUCCAUUGUAUAUUUUUCCCUCCUUUGUCAAAGAUAAGGUACCCAUAUGUGCAUGGGUUUAUCUCUGGGCUCUCUAUUGUGUUCCAUUAAUCUAUAUUUCUGUUUUUGUUCCAGUACCAUACUGUCUUGAUCACUGUAGCCUUGUCGUAUAGUUUGAAGUCAGGAAGCCCGAUUCCUCCAGCUCCAUCUUUCCUUCUCAAGAUUGCUUUGGCUAUUCUAGGUCUUUUGCGUUUCCAUACAAACCAUAAAAUUUUUUGUUCUAGUUUUGUGAAAAAUGCCAUUGGUAGUUUGAUAGGGAUUGCAUUGAAUCUGUCAAUUGCUUUGGGUAGGAUAGUCAUUUUCACAGUGUUGAUUCUUCCAAUCCAAGAACAUGGUAUGUCUCUCCAUCUGUUUGUAUCAUCUUUGAUUUCUUUCAUCAGCAUCAUAUCGUUUUCUGCAUGGAGGUCUUUUGCCUCCUUAGGCAGGUUUAUUCCUAGAUCUUUUAUUCCUUUUGUUGCAAUGGCAAAUGGGAUUGUUUCCUUAAUUUCUCUUUCUGCUCUUUUGUUGUUAGUGUAUAGGAAUGCAAGAGAUUUCUGUGCAUUAAUUUUGUAUCUUGCGUUUUUACUAAAUUCAUCGAUUAGUGCUAGCAGCUUUCUGGUAGAAUCUUUAGGGUUUUCUAUGUAUAAUACCAUGUCAUCUGCAAAGAGUGACAAUUGUACUUCUUUCCCAGUUUGGAUUCAUUUUAUUUGUUUGUCUUCUCUGAUUGCUGUGGCUAAAACUUCCAGAACUAUGUUGAAUAAUAGUGGUGAGAGUGGGCAUGCUUGUCUUUUUCCUGUCCUUAGAAGGAAUGUUUUCAGUUUUUAACCAUUUAGAAUGAUGUUGGCUUUUGGUUUCUCAUGUAUGACUUUUAUUAUGUUGAGGUAACUUCCGUCUAUGCCCAUUUUCUGGAGAGUUUUUAUCAUAAAUGGAUGUUAAAUUUUGUCAAAAGCUUUCUCUGCAUCUAUUGAGAUAAUCAUAUGGUUUUUAUCCUUCAGUUUGUUGAUAUGAUGUAUCUCAUUGAUUGAUUUGCAUUUAUAGAAUUCUUGCAUCCCAGGGAUAAACCCCACUUGAUCAUGGUGUAUGAUUUUCUUAAUGUGUUGUUGGAUUCUUUUAGCUAGUAUUUUGUUGAGGAUUUUUGCAUCUAUAUUCAUCAGUGAUAUUGGUCUGUAAUUUUCUUUUUUUUUGACAUCUUUGUCUGGUUUUGGUAUCAGUGUGAUGGUGGCCUCGUAGAAUGAGUUUGGGAGUGUUCCUCCUCCUGCUAUAUUGAGAAGAAUAGGUGUCAGCUCUUCUCUAAAUGAUUGAUAGAAUUCUCCUGUGAAGCCAUCUGGCCCUGGGCUUUUGUUUGUUGGGAGAUUUUUAGUCACAGUCUCAAUUUCAGUGCUUGUGAUUGGUCUACUCAGAUUUUCUAUUUCUUCCCGGUUCAGUCUUGGAAGAUUGUACUUUUCGAAGAAUUUGUCCAUUUCUUCCAGCUUAUCCAACUUAUUGGCAUAUAGUUUCUUGUAGUAGUCUCUCAUGAUCUUUUGUAUUUCUGCAGUGUUGGUUGUUACUUCUCCUUUUUGCGAUUGUUUCGUUCAUUUCUUUUUCGUUUAUUUCUGAUCUGAUCUUUAUGAUUUCUUUCCUUCUGUUCACUUUGGGGUUUUUUUGUUGUUGUUAUUCUUCUUUCUCUAAUUGUUUUAGGUGUAGGUUUAGGUUGUUUAUUCGAAAUUUUUCUUGUUUCUUGAGGUAGGAUUUUAUCGCUAUAAAUUUCCCUCUUAGAACUGCUUUUGCUGCUUCCCACAGGUUUUGGGUUGUCGUGUUUUCCUUGUCAUUUGUUUCUAGGUAUUUUUUGAUUUCCUCUUUGAUUUCUGCAGUGACUUCUUGGUUGUUUAAUAGCAUAUUGUUUAGCCUCCAUGUGUUUGUAUGUUUUACAGUUUUUUUCCUGUAAGUGAUAUCUAGUCUCGUGGCAUUGUGGUUGGAGGAGAUGCUUGAUAUAAUUUCAGUUUUCUUGAAUUUACCAAGGCUUGAUUUGUGACCCAAGAUAUGAUGUAUCCUGGAGAAUGUUCCCUGUGCACUUGGGAAGAAAUUGUGUCUGUAGGUUUUGGAUAGACUGUCCUAUAAAUAUCAAUUAAGUCAAGGUGGUCUAGUAUGUCAUUUAAAGCCUGUGUUUCUUUAUUUGUUUUCUGUUUGGAUGAUCUGUCCAUUGGUGUGAGGGGGGUGUUAAAGUCUCCUACUAUUAUUGUGUUACUGUCAACUUCCCCUAUUAUGGCUGUUAGCAUUUGCCUUAUAUAUUUGCCUUAUAUACUGAGGUGCUCCUAUGUUGGGUGCAUGGAUAUUUGCAAUUGUUAUAUCUUCUUCUUGGAUUAAUCCCUUGGUCAUUAUGUAGUGUCUUUCCUUGUCUCUUGUAAUAGUCUUUAAGGUCUAAUUUGUCUGAUAUGAGUAUUGUUAUGCCAACUUUCUUUUGACUUCCAUUUUUAUAGAAUACAUUUUUCUAUCCCCUUACUUUCAGUCUGUAUGUGUCCCUAGAUCUGAAGUGGGUUCCUUGUAGAUAAUAUAUAUAAGGGUCUUGUUUUUGUAUCCAUUCAGCCAGUCUGUGUCUUUUGCUUGGAGCAUUUAAUCCAUUUACAUUUAAGGUAAUUAUCGACAGUAUGUUUCUAUUACCAUUUUCUUAAUUGUUUUGGCUUUGUUUUUGUAGGUCUUUUCCUUCUCUUGUGUUUACUGCCUAGAGGAGUUCCUUUACCAGUUGUUGUAAGGCUGGAUUGGUGGUGCUGAAUUCUCUUAACUUUUGCUUGUCUGUAAAGCUUUUGAUUUCCCUGUCGAAUCUGAAUGAGAUUCUUGCUGGGUAGAGUAUUCUUGGCUGUAGGUUUUCCUCUUUCAAGACUUUAAUUAUAUCCUGCCACUCACUUCUGGCCUGCAGAGCUUGUGCAGAGAGAUCAGCUGUUAUCCUUAUGGGUUUUCCUUUGUAUGUUAUUUGUUGCUUUUCUCUUGCUGCUUUUAAUAUUUUUUCUUUGUGUUUAAUUUUCAUUAGUUUGAUUAAUAUGUGCCUUGGUGUAUUUCUCCUUGGGUUUAUUCUGUAUGAGACUCUCUGCACUUCUUGGACUUGGUUAAUUAUUUCCUUUCCCAUAUGGGGGAAGUUUUCCACCAUAAUCUCCUCAAAUAUUUUCACAGACCGUUUCUUUUUUUCUUCUUCUUCUGGGAUGUCUACGAUUCAAAUGUUGGUACACUUAAUGUUAUCCCCGAGGUCUCUGAGACUGUCUUCCAUUCUUUUUAUUCUUUUUUCUUUUUCCUGCUCUGUGGCAAUUAUUUCCACCAUUCUGUUUUCCAACUCACUUACUCAUGCUUCUGCCUCAGUUAUUCUGCUGUUUAUACCAUCUAGAGUAUUUUUAAUUUCAGUUAUUGUGUUGUUCAUUACUAUUUGUUUGCUCUUUAGUUCUUCUAGGUCCUUAUUAAAUGUUUCUUUUAUUUUCUCCAUUUUGUUUUUGAGAUUUUGGAACAUCUUUACUGUCAUUACCCUGAAUUCUUUUUCAGGCAAUUUUCCAAUUUCUUCUUCAUUUAUUUGGCCUCGUGGGUUUUUAUUUUGCUCUUUUGCCUGCAAGGUGUUUGUUUUCUCAUUUUGUCUAAUUUAUCGUAUUUGCUGUCUCCUUUCCCUAUGCUGCCUAGUAGUCAUUCCUCUUGUCCCUAUUCUGUUUGGCUUGAGGUAUCAAGCACUGAAGCUUGCUGGCCUUUGGUUGGAUUUGGAGCUUGGUGUUGAGAAUGAGAAUUCUGGGGGAGCACUUGCUGAGUAAUAUUCCAUGGGGUCGGGAGUUCUCUGGUGGUCCAACAUCCUGGAUUCUGCUCUGCUGUCUCAGAGGUCCAGGUUUGAUCCCCAGCCAGGGCACCAAGACCUUGGAAGCUGCACAGCGUGGAGAAAGAGGAGGUAGAAGGAGAGCAAAGAAAAAAAGGAAGAAAAAAGGGAAGAAGGGGAAAGGACAGACAGAUCCCCAAGACUGGUGGUAAAAACAACUCUAAUCAGUCAAAAUCACACAAGGAGAUAUGCACCCUCGCGCUUGCAAAAAGAGAAGAGGAAAAGAAACCAAAGGGAAGAGAAAAAGAGAGAGCAAAGAAAAGAAGGAAGAGAGUACUCAUACCAAUUACAAGCAAAUCCACAUACAAAUAUAUACAGUAAAGAUUAAACUAAUAAAUACCUAAAACCAGAAACAAGACAAACAUACCAAGUCCUCCAGUACUUCUAGGUAGGGCUCUGCCCCUGCUGUGGAGAGGACUGGGGAGAGCUCAGACUGUGAUCUGCUGUUAGUCCUGUGUGUAUUUGUCCCCACAGUCCCCCGUUGCCCCCUAUGUCUACAGUCUCUAUUGUAGAAACACUCGUCUCUUCAGGUGAUCCACAGAUGCAGGGUCUAUGGAGCCUAUUGUGAGUAUUAAAUCUGCUCCUGCUGCAGCUGUUUCCCUUUCUUUUCUUUGGUCCUGCAGUCCUCGGGGAUCAGUUUUGGCUUUGGUCCCUUCUUUGCGUGUGGCUUGCUCUGAGGAGUCGGUUCCCUGCCCAGGCAAGAGGGGGUGAAAGCGAGUGAUUGGGGCUCACUUGCAACGUCAGGUCAGGGGGAGGGAGGGAUAUGGCAGUCUAGUUGAAAUUUGUGGGAGUGCUUGCAGCUGCAGAGCUCAGUGUGAGCUUGAGGUGUGCCCUGCGUUCUCCUAGGGACGUUGAUGCUGAACACGGGAUCUUUGGUGUUGGUGGACUUCACCUACUGCCGGGAGGGUGUGGCCAAUAGCCUGCGUUACACACAGGACCCUUGGUGGCAGUGGGUGGGUGGGUGGCGGUGCACAGUGGCGGGCAGGCUUUUCAGUCCAGCACGGGUUGUGCUGCUCUGCAGCCUGUGAGUUCAAGGAGAGGGAAGCUCCUCCCAAGCACUCAGAAACAAAGGUCCCUUGCCUCUCUGUCUGGCCCAAGAUUUUCCCCAAACUCCCUCCUAGCUAGCUGGUGCACCUGCCCCCCAGGCUGUUCUCCUGCAGCCAGCCCCAGCUCACUCCCUGGUGUCUGUUCUCAGAAGCCCAAGCCUUGGCUCCCAGCCCCCAACCUCCUCCGGGGGUGAGCAGAUGAGCUUCUCUGGCUGGGGAUUGCUACCUGACUCCCACGCGGGGAUCUCUCUGCUCUGCCCUCUGAACACCUGCUGUUGCUCUCUCUUCUGGGGCUCUGAGGCUCCCCCUUCCGUCCCCGCCAGUGAGGGGGCUCCCCCGUGUGUGGAAGCCUUCCCUCCCUCCCAGCUCCCUCCCAGAGGGGCCGGUCUCCUCAGGACUCGUUUGUCUCUUUUUUUCCCCUUUCCUUCGUGUUACCCAAUUACAUGGGAAUUCGCUUGCCUUUGUGGAGGUCUGAGGUCUGCCAGCAUUCGGAAGGUGUUCUGCAGGAGCGACUCCACAAGUAGAGAUUCCACAGCUGUCAGUGAUACAGAAGCAGCCACUUUCCCUGAAUGGGUAGCUGUUCUCAUGGCCAAGUCCAGCAGCUCAGCUUUCCUGGGGGCACUGCUUGUUACCUGCGUCCAAUCCACACAUUUCCAGAGGGCUGCCCCCAUGUUCCACCCGCAGUGAAGGUGGGUUUCUGAUCCAUGUCUAGCCAGUCCUAUGCUCCAUCCUCUUGGUGCUCUGAUGGGUUCAAGAAUGAAAAUGUGACCCAAGCCAAAGCCAUUUUAGACCAUGACUUUUCAUGGGAAGGAGAAACCCUUUCUGGUAAAUGAACAUUGAGUGGGUGUCAGCCUGGAGUUGCUGGAGGCCCUGGAUGCAGUGAGAGAGACUGUGCCUGUGAACGGGGCCACCCCAAGUCACCUGGCAGGACAUAGGGUUGGAGAGGGACCAGGUCACACUGCAAGAGAGUGAGCCCCUCAACCUGCCCUGUCCAAAGCCACUCAGACUUGCCACUUGAAUGUAUGAAUUUAUUUCUACCACUUAAAAUAUUUUAAAAUAUUUUAGUUCAGUAAGAGUGUCCAGUCCCUUGGAAUCAGAAAAGUCCUUGCUGCCUCGUCAGAAUCAAUGCUCUGAGUGGAAAACCCCAGUACAAUGAGAGGAGAACCAGCAGGGAAAAGACGUCCCUGGAUGGCUGAUUUGUUUGUAUUUUUUUUUUUUAAGGUCCAUCUUGUUAAUGUGUGCUUUUACUAAGAAAUCACCCAGUUCCUCUUGGUUUCCAGUUUGAUGCAAUAGGUUUCUCUCAUUUGAUUUUUAUUCUUUGAUUUUUAAUUUCUCCCCUCUUUCUAGUUUUCUACAUAAUUCUUACAACUAAUAAACAAAUACUGAUAACCUUACUAUUAACUAUAGUCCAUAUUUUAUUUGGGUUCCCUUCAUUCUAAUUUUUUCUGUUCCAGGAUUCCAUCCGUGGUACCACAUGAUAUGUCAUCAUCUUUAGGCUCUUCUUGUCUUUGACAGUUUCUCAGACUUUUCUUGUUUCAAUGACCUUGACAGGAGGAAGUCGCUAUGUGGAACCCACACUUCAGGAGAGGGGUUUUAGCUCUUCCUCCUUGAAGGAUGGCUAAGUGUGUAUAUCAAUUAUUUGGAAUCCUCCUGCAUAGGAGAUUUCUAUUUAAUCCCAUCAAUUAUCUAGCCGUCUCCUGCAUACAAUAUUUCUAUUCAAUCCUAUUAAUAAAAUACCUUUGCAAUCAUUUAUUUUCACCAGUGUGGA